GGUAAGGUGAUAUGAACCGUUAUAACCGGCGAUUUCCGAAUGGGGAAACCCAGUGUGAUUCGUCACACUAUCAUUAACUGAAUCCAUAGGUUAAUGAGGCGAACCGGGGGAACUGAAACAUCUAAGUACCCCGAGGAAAAGAAAUCAACCGAGAUUCCCCCAGUAGCGGCGAGCGAACGGGGAGCAGCCCAGAGCCUGAAUCAGUGUGUGUGUUAGUGGAAGCGUCUGGAAAGGCGCGCGAUACAGGGUGACAGCCCCGUACACAAAAAUGCACAUGCUGUGAGCUCGAUGAGUAGGGCGGGACACGUGGUAUCCUGUCUGAAUAUGGGGGGACCAUCCUCCAAGGCUAAAUACUCCUGACUGACCGAUAGUGAACCAGUACCGUGAGGGAAAGGCGAAAAGAACCCCGGCGAGGGGAGUGAAAAAGAACCUGAAACCGUGUACGUACAAGCAGUGGGAGCACGCUUAGGCGUGUGACUGCGUACCUUUUGUAUAAUGGGUCAGCGACUUAUAUUCUGUAGCAAGGUUAACCGAAUAGGGGAGCCGAAGGGAAACCGAGUCUUAACUGGGCGUUAAGUUGCAGGGUAUAGACCCGAAACCCGGUGAUCUAGCCAUGGGCAGGUUGAAGGUUGGGUAACACUAACUGGAGGACCGAACCGACUAAUGUUGAAAAAUUAGCGGAUGACUUGUGGCUGGGGGUGAAAGGCCAAUCAAACCGGGAGAUAGCUGGUUCUCCCCGAAAGCUAUUUAGGUAGCGCCUCGUGAAUUCAUCUCCGGGGGUAGAGCACUGUUUCGGCAAGGGGGUCAUCCCGACUUACCAACCCGAUGCAAACUGCGAAUACCGGAGAAUGUUAUCACGGGAGACACACGGCGGGUGCUAACGUCCGUCGUGAAGAGGGAAACAACCCAGACCGCCAGCUAAGGUCCCAAAGUCAUGGUUAAGUGGGAAACGAUGUGGGAAGGCCCAGACAGCCAGGAUGUUGGCUUAGAAGCAGCCAUCAUUUAAAGAAAGCGUAAUAGCUCACUGGUCGAGUCGGCCUGCGCGGAAGAUGUAACGGGGCUAAACCAUGCACCGAAGCUGCGGCAGCGACGCUUAUGCGUUGUUGGGUAGGGGAGCGUUCUGUAAGCCUGUGAAGGUGUACUGUGAGGUAUGCUGGAGGUAUCAGAAGUGCGAAUGCUGACAUAAGUAACGAUAAAGCGGGUGAAAAGCCCGCUCGCCGGAAGACCAAGGGUUCCUGUCCAACGUUAAUCGGGGCAGGGUGAGUCGACCCCUAAGGCGAGGCCGAAAGGCGUAGUCGAUGGGAAACAGGUUAAUAUUCCUGUACUUGGUGUUACUGCGAAGGGGGGACGGAGAAGGCUAUGUUGGCCGGGCGACGGUUGUCCCGGUUUAAGCGUGUAGGCUGGUUUUCCAGGCAAAUCCGGAAAAUCAAGGCUGAGGCGUGAUGACGAGGCACUACGGUGCUGAAGCAACAAAUGCCCUGCUUCCAGGAAAAGCCUCUAAGCAUCAGGUAACAUCAAAUCGUACCCCAAACCGACACAGGUGGUCAGGUAGAGAAUACCAAGGCGCUUGAGAGAACUCGGGUGAAGGAACUAGGCAAAAUGGUGCCGUAACUUCGGGAGAAGGCACGCUGAUAUGUAGGUGAAGUCCCUCGCGGAUGGAGCUGAAAUCAGUCGAAGAUACCAGCUGGCUGCAACUGUUUAUUAAAAACACAGCACUGUGCAAACACGAAAGUGGACGUAUACGGUGUGACGCCUGCCCGGUGCCGGAAGGUUAAUUGAUGGGGUUAGCGCAAGCGAAGCUCUUGAUCGAAGCCCCGGUAAACGGCGGCCGUAACUAUAACGGUCCUAAGGUAGCGAAAUUCCUUGUCGGGUAAGUUCCGACCUGCACGAAUGGCGUAAUGAUGGCCAGGCUGUCUCCACCCGAGACUCAGUGAAAUUGAACUCGCUGUGAAGAUGCAGUGUACCCGCGGCAAGACGGAAAGACCCCGUGAACCUUUACUAUAGCUUGACACUGAACAUUGAGCCUUGAUGUGUAGGAUAGGUGGGAGGCUUUGAAGUGUGGACGCCAGUCUGCAUGGAGCCGACCUUGAAAUACCACCCUUUAAUGUUUGAUGUUCUAACGUGGACCCGUAAUCCGGGUUGCGGACAGUGUCUGGUGGGUAGUUUGACUGGGGCGGUCUCCUCCUAAAGAGUAACGGAGGAGCACGAAGGUUGGCUAAUCCUGGUCGGACAUCAGGAGGUUAGUGCAAUGGCAUAAGCCAGCUUGACUGCGAGCGUGACGGCGCGAGCAGGUGCGAAAGCAGGUCAUAGUGAUCCGGUGGUUCUGAAUGGAAGGGCCAUCGCUCAACGGAUAAAAGGUACUCCGGGGAUAACAGGCUGAUACCGCCCAAGAGUUCAUAUCGACGGCGGUGUUUGGCACCUCGAUGUCGGCUCAUCACAUCCUGGGGCUGAAGUAGGUCCCAAGGGUAUGGCUGUUCGCCAUUUAAAGUGGUACGCGAGCUGGGUUUAGAACGUCGUGAGACAGUUCGGUCCCUA
rnacentral:rRNA from 1 species